CACGUAGUUAGCCGGGGCUUCUUACUCAGGUACCGUCAUUUAUUCUUCCCUGCUGAUAGAGCUUUACAUAACGAAUUACCUCUUCACUCACGCGGCGUCGCUGCAUCAGGGUUCCCCCCAUUGUGGCAAUAUCCCCCACUGCUGCCUCCCGUAGGAGUCUGGGCCGUGUCUCAGUCCCAAUGUGGCCGUCCGCCCUCUCAGGCCGGCUACUGAUCGUCGCUUUGGUAGGCCGUUACCCUGCCAACUGGCUAAUCAGACGCGGGCCCAUCGUAUACCGUCUCGGCUUUUCACACUCCAGUAUGCACUGCUGUGCGCUUAUGCGGUAUUAGCACCUAUUUCUAAGUGUUAUCCCCCUGUAUACGGUAGGUUGCCCACGCGUUACUCACCCGUCCGCCACUAAGAUACAUUUUCCUCAGACGAAUCCUCAUUCCAAUAUAUCCCCGUUCGACUUGCAUGUGUUAGGCACGCGCCAGCGUUCAUCCUGAGCCAGG
rnacentral:rRNA from 1 species